GAGUUUGAUCUUGGCUCAGAUUGAACGCUGGCGGCAUGCCUUACACAUGCAAGUCGAACGGCAGCACGGGAGCUUGCUCCUGGUGGCGAGUGGCGAACGGGUGAGUAAUGCAUCGGAACGUAUCCUGGAGUGGGGGAUAACGUAGCGAAAGUUACGCUAAUACCGCAUAUUCUGUGAGCAGGAAAGCGGGGGACCUUCGGGCCUCGCGCUCUUGGAGCGGCCGAUGUCGGAUUAGCUAGUUGGUGAGGUAAAGGCUCACCAAGGCGACGAUCCGUAGCAGGUCUGAGAGGAUGAUCUGCCACACUGGAACUGAGACACGGUCCAGACUCCUACGGGAGGCAGCAGUGGGGAAUUUUGGACAAUGGGGGCAACCCUGAUUCAGCCAUGCCGCGUGAGUGAAGAAGGCCUUCGG
rnacentral:rRNA from 1 species